rnacentral:rRNA from 1 species
AACCAGCACCUCAAGUGGUCAGGAUGAUUAUUGGGCCUAAAGCAUCCGUAGCCUGUUCUGUAAGUUUUCGGUUAAAUCCAUAAGCUCAACUUAUGGGCUGCCGAAAAUACUGCAGAACUAGGGAGUGGGAGAGGUAGACGGUACUCGGUAGGAAGGGGUAAAAUCCUUUGAUCUAUUGAUGACCACCUGUGGCGAAGGCAGCUCACUAAACCAUUACUGACGCUCAUGGACGAAAGCGUGGGGAGCGAACAGG